CGCGGGAUGGAGCAGCUCGGUAGCUCGUCGGGCUCAUAACCCGAAGGUCGUAGGUUCAAAUCCUGCUCCCGCAACCA
rnacentral:tRNA from 6 species